GGGCCGCGCGCGGUAGGGCUGGGCUGGGCUCUGGACAACGCGCGGCAGCUCAUAGUCCUCCGGCUCCCGCCGCAGCGCUCCCAGCCCGGCCUUUCAAGCAAUCACAUGGUACGGCAGAGACUCAGCCCCGGACGCUUUUAAAGAGCUCUGUCGGGGAACCUUGCCCAUGGCCUGCCCCAAGGGGGCAUUCCGGUCUCUUCUUUCAACCCUCUCCUGCACCCCCAUUGGGGAGCCCCAGGGGUGAACCGAGACUCAGACUUACCCAAGGUCACCAAAGCUGGCAGAGCUCCCGGCUGCCUGACUGUUCUGUCCAAGUGCCCCCACACCUCGACGCCUUCAGCAGCCGCUAGCUCCAGGGAUUCCUGGGGAAGCCAAGGCCGGCCGGUGCUGGGUUCCCGCGGAAGGGAGAAGAAGGAGGAGCCAUAGCUGGGCUCAGCAUUAUAGCGCCUGGCGGAGCACUGCGCAAGGCUUCAGCUGAGAUGCUUCACCCGACAUCAUGGGCCAGAACAGACGAAACAGGCAGCGCCUCAGCUCCCCACCUGCCCGAGCCUCUCCUGAGCUCACCUGCAGAAAGGCCAAAAGGGACGGCGCCUAAGAAGGCCCAGCAGACCCGCUCCCUUGGAGGGAAGAGACAGAUUCGCUCUCCUGACGUCCAGUCCAAAGUGCUUUGUUCCCAUAGCAUUGUCUCCUCCCGUUUCCAGGCAAAUCUAACCCAGCCCCAAGAGAACACUUCCCUCCUCUCUGGAUCUUGUUGCCCAGGCUGGAAUGCAAUGGCGUGGUCUUGGCUCACUGCAACCUUCGCCUCCCGGGUUCAAGCGAUUCUCCUGCCUCAGCCUCCCAAAUAACUGGUAUUACAGGUGCCUGCCACCACGCCUAGCUAAUGUUCUAUUUUUGGUAGAGACGGGGUUUCACCACGUUGGCCAGGCUGGUCUUGAACUCCUGACCUAAGGUGAUCCACCCGCCUCGGCCUCCCAAAGUGCUGGGGUUACAGGCGUGAGUCACCGGGCCCGGGCUUCCAGCUCCUUUACUUUCACCCCACUUCAUCUGGCUGCUCUACAAUUCCCACAGUGAGGAGGGCUAACUUAGACCCAUCCACCACGUCCAGAAGUUACCCCUUGUUGGGGGACGGCUGGCCCUCGACUGGGCAUGGAACUCUCUGUUAUUUCAAUACUCCUCAAAGGUUUUAAGUUUGGUCUCUAGUGCCAAAAAAUCUGGCAUGAAAUCUCACUUAUGUCUCUUCUUAGUGUGUGACUUUGUGCACAUUACUGAACCAAGAAGCCUCCGUUUUCUCAUCUGUAAAAUAGAAAUUAUAAUACUUUCCUAAUGGGCUGUUGGGAGGAUUCAGUGAUACAUUAUACAAUCAACAGCACUGUGCCUUGCAUUACAGCGAGUGUUUGGUAAAUGCUAAUAAUGAUCAUUACCUUUCCUACCCUAACACCUAACUAAAGAGAAUGGGGUGAAGGGUACAUGGGCAGGUAGUUCUGGAGAGAAAAGUGCAGUGCCCCAUCACGUGCUUGAGUCUUCUCCAACCUGGCCACCUCCUUGCGUUCCCACCCCCUAUCUGCAAGGGGGUGGGUGGCAGCUGCGUCCCUCCCCUGCCCAUGCCCUGACAGUGCCAAAGGGCUGGCACAGCUGCUGCAAUGGCCCAAAUGCCUCAGGUUAGGGCUAGGUAGGGGACAGCUGGGGGUAAAGGAGACGUGAGAGGAGGCAGAGCAGGGGCACCCUUCUCUACCAGCAUGUCCACUCACCCUGCAGCUUCCUAAGCCUCUCAGGUCAGCCAGGGACCUCUGACCUCACUCCUGUCCAGCCUGAGGGGGUUUCCCCCUCUUUCCCUCUCUUGUUCUCUGGCCUCUAGUACCUCCUCCUCCAUGGCUGGACCCACCCAGUCUCCCAGCCCCGUUGCCCAACUCCCUCUCCUGCCCACAUGCUGCCCAGCUGUCGCUGCCCCUGAGCUGGCACUCUGCCCACCUGCACCACUCAUGAAUCGCCAGCAUUCACACUCUGACCCUGGAACCUCCACCUGUUCCCCUCGGUCUGAGCAGCAGGGCUGUGUGGCCCCAUCUGUUGUCCUCCAGCCAGGACUCAGUGCAAGGGACUACACUUCAACCCCCGCCAACUUCCACCUGCCAGGAGAGGGCGGGAAGGACUGGCUGGGAUGAUGCCUGAUUUGGGGGGCUCCUUAUCUCCUGGAAGAGCAGGCCUUGUUCUCCCCUGCCCCAGGCCCACCAGCACUGUCUUAAAAGACCAACAUUACAACUGAAAAAGCAAAAAGCCCACACUUCCCAAAGGACAUUUGCAUAUUUAAUAGCAUUCUCCUAUUACAUUUCACUUGUUGAUGGCAAGCCCCUAAAUCAGAAGCUGGUCAGUGCAAGAUGGUAAGCAGAAAGACACAACAGUGGCAACAUUUUCAAUUAAUGUUUCAUUAUACAAACAAUAUGUGAAUGCGCUUUCCUUGAUAAAAAAGUGAAACCACUGUAGUUCAGGCUCAAAUUCCAUUUAACCAGUUCCCUAAAUCAAGACCCUUUCAUCUAAACGCAGAGGUGACCAUUGUUACCAGUUUGAUGUGUAUAUUUCCAGGAAUUUUUCUAUGUAUUUGCAUAAUAUAAGUGUGUGUGUAUAUGUACAUUUACACACAAGUAUGUUUACAUUACAUAUAAAUAAGAGUAUGUAUAUACCCCUAUACACACAUUUAUAUAUGCAAAUAUAUAUAUAUUCAAAAAAAAUGUAGUACUAUCAUGGGUUUGGGUUUUGUUAUUUUUUACAUGAAUUGUAAACUACAAAUAUUCUGCAGCUAGAUUCACUAAAAAAGUCUUAUCAAG
ensembl:lncRNA novel transcript